UAUCAUUAACUGAAUCCAUAGGUUAAUGAGGCGAACCGGGGGAACUGAAACAUCUAAGUACCCCGAGGAAAAGAAAUCAACCGAGAUUCCCCCAGUAGCGGCGAGCGAACGGGGAGGAGCCCAGAGCCUGAAUCAGCAUGUGUGUUAGUGGAAGCGUCUGGAAAGGCGCGCGAUACAGGGUGACAGCCCCGUACACAAAAGCGCAUGUGCUGUGAGCUCGAUGAGUAGGGCGGGACACGUGGUAUCCUGUCUGAAUAUGGGGGGACCAUCCUCCAAGGCUAAAUACUCCUGACUGACCGAUAGUGAACCAGUACCGUGAGGGAAAGGCGAAAAGAACCCCGGCGAGGGGAGUGAAAAAGAACCUGAAACCGUGUACGUACAAGCAGUGGGAGCACCCUUUGGGUGUGACUGCGUACCUUUUGUAUAAUGGGUCAGCGACUUAUAUUCUGUAGCAAGGUUAACCGAAUAGGGGAGCCGGAGGGAAACCGAGUCUUAAUUGGGCGUUAAGUUGCAGGGUAUAGACCCGAAACCCGGUGAUCUAGCCAUGGGCAGGUUGAAGGUUGGGUAACACUAACUGGAGGACCGAACCGACUAAUGUUGAAAAAUUAGCGGAUGACCUGUGGCUGGGGGUGAAAGGCCAAUCAAACCGGGAGAUAGCUGGUUCUCCCCGAAAGCUAUUUAGGUAGCGCCUCGUGAAUUCAUCUCCGGGGGUAGAGCACUGUUUCGGCUAGGGGGCCAUCCCGGCUUACCAACCCGAUGCAAACUGCGAAUACCGGAGAAUGUUAUCACGGGAGACACACGGCGGGUGCUAACGUCCGUCGUGAAGAGGGAAACAACCCAGACCGCCAGCUAAGGUCCCAAAGUCAUGGUUAAGUGGGAAACGAUGUGGGAAGGCCCAGACAGCCAGGAUGUUGGCUUAGAAGCAGCCAUCAUUUAAAGAAAGCGUAAUAGCUCACUGGUCGAGUCGGCCUGCGCGGAAGAUGUAACGGGGCUAAACCAUGCACCGAAGCUGCGGCAGCGACACUGUGUGUUGUUGGGUAGGGGAGCGUUCUGUAAGCCUGUGAAGGUGUGUCGUGAGGCAUGCUGGAGGUAUCAGAAGUGCGAAUGCUGACAUAAGUAACGAUAAAGCGGGUGAAAAGCCCGCUCGCCGGAAGACCAAGGGUUCCUGUCCAACGUUAAUCGGGGCAGGGUGAGUCGACCCCUAAGGCGAGGCCGAAAGGCGUAGUCGAUGGGAAACGGGUUAAUAUUCCCGUACUUGGUGUUACUGCGAAGGGGGGACGGAGAAGGCUAUGUUGGCCGGGCGACGGUUGUCCCGGUUUAAGCGUGUAGGUGUGUGUUCCAGGUAAAUCCGGUUCACUUUAACACUGAGGCGUGACGACGAGGCACUACGGUGCUGAAGCAACAAAUGCCCUGCUUCCAGGAAAAGCCUCUAAGCAUCAGGUAACAUCAAAUCGUACCCCAAACCGACACAGGUGGUCAGGUAGAGAAUACCAAGGCGCUUGAGAGAACUCGGGUGAAGGAACUAGGCAAAAUGGUGCCGUAACUUCGGGAGAAGGCACGCUGACACGUAGGUGAAGUGAUUUACUCAUGGAGCUGAAGUCAGUCGAAGAUACCAGCUGGCUGCAACUGUUUAUUAAAAACACAGCACUGUGCAAACACGAAAGUGGACGUAUACGGUGUGACGCCUGCCCGGUGCCGGAAGGUUAAUUGAUGGGGUCAGCGCAAGCGAAGCUCCUGAUCGAAGCCCCGGUAAACGGCGGCCGUAACUAUAACGGUCCUAAGGUAGCGAAAUUCCUUGUCGGGUAAGUUCCGACCUGCACGAAUGGCGUAAUGAUGGCCAGGCUGUCUCCACCCGAGACUCAGUGAAAUUGAACUCGCUGUGAAGAUGCAGUGUACCCGCGGCAAGACGGAAAGACCCCGUGAACCUUUACUAUAGCUUGACACUGAACAUUGAGCCUUGAUGUGUAGGAUAGGUGGGAGGCUUUGAAGUGUGGACGCCAGUCUGCAUGGAGCCGACCUUGAAAUACCACCCUUUAAUGUUUGAUGUUCUAACGUGGACCCGUUACCCGGGUUGCGGACAGUGUCUGGUGGGUAGUUUGACUGGGGCGGUCUCCUCCUAAAGAGUAACGGAGGAGCACGAAGGUUGGCUAAUCCUGGUCGGACAUCAGGAGGUUAGUGCAAUGGCAUAAGCCAGCUUGACUGCGAGCGUGACGGCGCGAGCAGGUGCGAAAGCAGGUCAUAGUGAUCCGGUGGUUCUGAAUGGAAGGGCCAUCGCUCAACGGAUAAAAGGUACUCCGGGGAUAACAGGCUGAUACCGCCCAAGAGUUCAUAUCGACGGCGGUGUUUGGCACCUCGAUGUCGGCUCAUCACAUCCUGGGGCUGAAGUAGGUCCCAAGGGUAUGGCUGUUCGCCAUUUAAAGUGGUACGCGAGCUGGGUUUAGAACGUCGUGAGACAGUUCGGUCCCUAUCUGCCGUGGGCGCUGGAGAACUGAGGGGGGCUGCUCCUAGUACGAGAGGACCGGAGUGGACGCAUCACUGGUGUUCGGGUUGUCAUGCCAAUGGCACUGCCCGGUAGCUAAAUGCGGAAGAGAUAAGUGCUGAAAGCAUCUAAGCACGAAACUUGCCCCGA
rnacentral:rRNA from 1 species